AUUGAACGCUGGCGGCAGGCCUAACACAUGCAAGUCGAACGAGUGGCGGACGGGUGAGUAAUGUCUGGGAAACUGCCCGUUGGAGGGGGAUAACUACUGGAAACGGUAGCUAAUACCGCAUACCAUCGGAUGUGCCCAGAUGGGAUUAGCUAGUAGGUGGGGUAACGGCUCACCUAGGUGACGAUCCCCAGCGGGUCUGAGAGGAGGACCAGCCACACUGGAACUGAGACACGGUCCAGACUCCUACGGGAGGAAGCAGUGGGGAAUAUUGCACAAUGGGCGCAAGCCUGAUGCAGCCAUGCCGCGUGAGUGAAGAAGGCCUUCGGGUUGUAAAGUACUUUCAGCGAGGAGGCGUUACUCGAAGAAGAAGCACCGGCUAACUCCGUGCCAGCAGCCGCGGUAAUAC
rnacentral:rRNA from 1 species